AGAGUUUGAUCAUGGCUCAGAAUCAACGCUGGCGGCGUGCCUAACACAUGCAAGUCGAACGCGAAAGUCCCGCAAGGGAUUAGUAGAGUGGCAAACGGGUGAGUAACACGUGGGUGACCUGCCUUCGAGUGGGGGAUAACGUCCCGAAAGGGACGCUAAUACCGCAUGACAUCCUGCCUUUGAAGAGGUGGAGAUCAAAGCUGGGGAUCGCAAGACCUAGCGCUCAAAGAGGGGCCCGCGCCUGAUUAGCUAGUUGGCGAGGUAACGGCUCACCAAGGCAACGAUCAGUAUCCGGCCUGAGAGGGCGGACGGACACACUGGGACUGAGACACGGCCCAGACUCCUACGGGAGGCAGCAGUGGGGAAUUGUUCGCAAUGGGCGCAAGCCUGACGACGCAACGCCGCGUGGAGGAUGAAGACCUUCGGGUCGUAAACUCCUUUCGAUCGAGACGAACGGCCUCCGGGUGAACAGUCCGGAGGAGUGACGGUACCGAGAGAAGAAGCCCCGGCUAACUCCGUGCCAGCAGCCGCGGUAAUACGGGGGGGGCAAGCGUUGUUCGGAAUUACUGGGCGUAAAGGGCUCGUAGGCGGCCAACUAAGUCAGACGUGAAAUCCCUCGGCUUAACCGGGGAACUGCAUCUGAUACUGGAUGGCUUGAGUUCGGGAGAGGGAUGUGGAAUUCCAGGUGUAGCGGUGAAAUGCGUAGAUAUCUGGAGGAACACCGGUGGCGAAAGGCGGCAUCCUGCACCGACACUGACGCUGAGGAGCGAAAGCCAGGGGAGCAAACGGGAUUAGAUACCCCGGUAGUCCUGGCCCUAAACGAUGAAUGCUUGGUGUGCGGGUAUCGAUCCCUGCCGUGCCGAAGCUAACGCAUUAAGCAUUCCGCCUGGGGGAGUACGGUCGCAAGGCUGAAACUCAAGGAAUUGACGG
rnacentral:rRNA from 1 species